rnacentral:rRNA from 1 species
ACGGGUGAGUAAUGUCUGGGAAACUGCCUGAUGGAGGGGGAUAACUACUGGAAACGGUAGCUAAUACCGCAUAACGUCGCAAGACCAAAGAGGGGGACCUUCGGGCCUCUUGCCAUCAGAUGUGCCCAGAUGGGAUUAGCUAGUAGGUGGGGUAACGGCUCACCUAGGCGACGAUCCCUAGCUGGUCUGAGAGGAUGACCAGCCACACUGGAACUGAGACACGGUCCAGACUCCUACGGGAGGCAGCAGUGGGGAAUAUUGCACAAUGGGCGCAAGCCUGAUGCAGCCAUGCCGCGUGUGUGAAGAAGGCCUUCGGGUUGUAAAGCACUUUCAGCGGGGAGGAAGGGGGUAAGGUUAAUAACCUUACUCAUUGACGUUACCCGCAGAAGAAGCACCGGCUAACUCCGUGCCAGCAGCCGCGGUAAUACGGAGGGUGCAAGCGUUAAUCGGAAUUACUGGGCGUAAAGCGCACGCAGGCGGUCUGUCAAGUCGGAUGUGAAAUCCCCGGGCUCAACCUGGGAACUGCAUUCGAAACUGGCAGGCUAGAGUCUUGUAGAGGGGGGUAGAAUUCCAGGUGUAGCG